CUAGCAUAUGAAAGGGGAGCAGCUUAGCACCCCCCUUGGCGAGGGUGGAGAGGCCCUCGGGUUGACACAACAUGUACAUGGUUAAGGCAUUGCCACACAUUUCGUGUCAUGCAGCCAUUUUCUUUU